rnacentral:lncRNA from 10 species
CUCCUUGCUACUGGCCCCUGUGUUUCCAGGCUGUAUUUCUCAAGUUCAUCUUCUAUGCCUGGCAUUGUACCAAGGACCCUGGGCACUAAGGAUGCAGCAGGAAAUGCAGCAGACUUCAUUUCUGCUCUUACAGGGCUUACAUUUGAGUGUUUUCUCUUCAAGAACCUGGACGUUUAGUCUAGGUUGUGUCUUCCGUGAGAAAGGCUGGCGUUGGGUAAGGCUGGAGAGACUGGAGCCAAGGACUCUGCAGGCCUUGAAGAUGCAAGCUGGUAUGAUGUGAACUGCCACAUGGCAGGGAACUGCAGGUACCCUCGAGGACGUGAGGACCUCAUUCUUACAUCUGCAAGAAACCAAAUUCUGCGGACAGCUAUGUGAACUUUAAAAGAAGACCUGGAACCUCCAGAAAGGAAUGCAGCCUGGCCAAUGUGCUGAUUGCAUCCUUGUGAGACUCUGAGCCAGAGGACCCAGCUAAACUCUGCCUGGACUCCUGACCCACGGAAACUAAACAGAUCUGAAGCCAAUCCCUGAGCCUCCUGGGCCAUACACUGUCCCACUAUUUCAAAAGAAACUCAGUGACGAGAGGGCAGAGGGAGAAUAUGUCCAGCAUCUCAGCCUCAUUGUUUUCCACUUGGCAGCCCCCUCCAGUUCAGGGAUUCAUUUGAAGAAGCCCACAGGGACGGGUGACACUGAGGAAACAAAACCCAGGCCCCCCGGCCUCCGACUGAGCCGUGCAGAGCAUGCUGGGAGAUCACCUCCACCUGAGGAGCACAAAAGACCCCAGGAGUGGAGGAAGCUGGCCUGAGGCCAACUGGAUGUAGCAGACUUGCUGAGCCCAAGGAGGGAGGUCUGGUGAUGGAGCCUCGAGUACAUAUCCUUCCAAUCCUAAGGCAAUGCGAAAUCCACAGGACAGAAGAAACCUGGUUCUGGAAUCCCCUCUUGGAAGUGAGCUGCCUGCUGAUUAAUAAUACUUGUUGUUUUGGAUUUUAUGUAAGCUCAAAAUAUACUUUAUGGGUGUGACCCAAUGAGAUUUGAGGAUUUGUUUAUUACAGAAACUAGCAUUGCCCUAACUAAUAUAUAUCCAGUCACAUUUCUUUCCACUCUAAUACACAAAAAUCUCUAUGCUGCUCAGAAGAGUUUCCAUCUCCCCCACUACUGCUUAUAUGUCUUCUGCCUAGAAUAUCUUCAAUUGCUUUCUUCCUAUUUUAAACUAUUCAUCUUUAAGGCCCAAGCUAAGUGCCAUCUCUUUGUUUGUAUAUUUGUUUUAUUAUUAUUAUUAUUAUUUUUUGGAGACAAGAGUCUCGCUCUGUUGCCCAGGCUGGGGUGCAGUGAUGAAUCUCAGCUCACUGCAACUUCUGCCUCCCGGGUUCAAGUGGUUCUCCUGCCUCAGCCUCCCGAGUAGCUGGGACUACAGGCACGUGCCAUCACACCUGGCUAAUUUGUUGUACUUUUAGUAGAAAUGGGGUUUCACCAUGUUAGCCAGGAAGGCCUUGAUCUCCUGACCUCGUGAUCUGCCCACCUUGGCCUCCCAAAGUGCUGAGAUUACAGGCCUGAGCCACCGCGCCCAGCCUAUUUUUAAUUUUUGAGUCUUGUUCUGUUGUCCAGGCUGGAGUGCAGUGGCACAAUCACAACUCACUGCAGCCUUGACCUCCUGGGCCCAAGCGAUCCCACCAUGCCUGUGCUCCCAGCUACUUGGGAUGCUGAGAUAGGGGAUUUUUUUUUUCUUUUAUGUAGAGCUGAUGUCUUGCUAUGUUGCCCAGGCUGGUCUCAAACUACUGAGUUUAAGUGAUCCCCCUGCCUUGACCUCCCAAAGUGCUGGGAUUACAGGUGUAGGCCACUGUGUCUGGCCUACAUCUCUUUGGUGAAGCCUUCCCAUACCACCUAUCUUUCAAGUCAACUGCAGUAUCUCUGUCUAUCAUCUGUUUAUUCAUUCAUUCAUUCUCUUAACAGGGUUUAUGAGCACCUUCAUGAAUGUCCACUGCUCUAUGCUAAGCACUGAAUAUUUAGAAGAAGACAAAUCCCAGGCCACACUAUCUGAAAGUUUAGUGAAGACAGUAGAUGAAACAAAAAAUAGACAUCACAAUCCACUGUAAUAUGUGCUAAGUUUGGCAAUGCACAGGGUGCUGUGGUUACAUUGAGAAGGAAUGAUAGGCUCAGUUUGGGAAGAGCUAUAUUCAAUAAAUAAUCACUAUUGUUAUUUUGCCAGGUCUCAUAUUUAGUCUGUUAGCAAAAGUCAGUGGGCAAUCAACGGCCCUCUGGAUGACCCAUGAUGCACUGUCUCUCUUUUUUGCCUCAUUUUUCACCAUAUGCUACUCAAUGGUUCCAGCUUGUCAUCAUCAUAUCAGUUACUAGAGAAAAAACUUGUUCAGAGAAGGGAAGACUUAAAUGAAUGGGCAACAGGCCUAAUGAGAAAGGGGUGUUGGGUAUGGAAAGCUGUAGAGGGAAUCUGACAUUUAUUGAAUGACUACUGUGUGCCAUACACUACUGCCUUUUAUUUCACUUAAACAGCACAACAAUCCUGUAAACUUAGUAUUAUUUUUGUGCAUAUUUUAUAGAAGAGGUAACUGAGGUUCAGCAAUGUGACAUCACUUGCCAAGUUCUUGUAUCAAGGAAGGGAUGGAGCCCCUAGGUUUAAAGUUUUCCUGAAACCAAGCUGCCAACCACAAUGCUGCUAUUGGUCAGGGUUCUGGUAGGAGAG